AUUGUUUAAUGUUCCGCACAUUUCUGUAGCCGAGAGGUCAAGAGAAGUUUUUCUGUUGCUGACUAGAGCCGUGUCUACCUCUGAAGAUUCCAUCGACUUUGGAAAUGCUAAAAAGGUCAAGCGUCUUGGAUACAUUGGGGGAUGCCAAAAAGAAACAAAUUAGGAAGAGACUCCAAACCUUGGUGGAACAAUGAUGACAAUGAUGAUUCCUCUUGAAAAGCAAAAAGCAGCACUGGCACAUGAGGAGGGAUUACAGUCAAACCAAGCUCCUUGAAGCUCUAAAAUGGAGACAAACAAGCCCCUUUAUAAAACAAGUCUAUAUGAUAUAUAGAAUGUGCUAAUUUUAUUAAAUAACCUCUGCCUAUGUUUGGAAAACACAAAGUCUGCGUGAAUAAAGAAACCAACAAAGAUGUGUGGGUCCUUCUGACAGUUUGUGUUGUCCUUUAUCGAGCACACUUUGUACAGUGUACAAAUCCUAAUGUGUUGGCCAGUUUGAAUUUAGUAGGACAUGAGGGCAAGACUGGUAGGAGAGGAGAUAUUCAAUUUCAUAAGAACAUAAGAACAUAAGAAAGUUUACA